ACCCUCUCGAAGCUCGAUGAAGCUCCAUCUACACCCGCGAUUUCGAAGCUUCAGAGCGAUUUCGAAACUCCAUCGCCCCACCAUCUGCUCUCUCUCUCUCGAUUUAGAUCUACUAAGCUCCAUUUUUCCAAAUUUCGAGGUAGCGAGCUCCACCGUCUCUCUCUCUCUCUAGAUCUAUGAAAUCAAUAGAGAGAUCUAUGAAAUCAAUGUUUGAAGGCAUUCUUACUUGAUCCUUAUUUGCAGAGACUCAAAGAUUCAGUGAUUUCAGAGCGAUUUCGAUUUCGAAGCUCCAUCGCCACCACCAUCUGCACCUGCGAUUUUCAUUUCACUAAGAAGCUCAGAUCUGAACUCUGACCCCUCGAUUACUCGCAUUUCAAGCCCCAAUGGCCGCGAAUAGUCUACUUUGGUUCUGAACUUUAAUCGUUGCCUGUGAAUUGGAAUUGGUUGAAACCAUCAUUGUGGGAUGGGAUUCUUCAUGCUAAUGCUUGAACUAUAUGUAUGAGUAUGAUUACUUAUGGUUGCAUUGUAGGAACCAUGCAAAUGGCAGUUGGAGUUACAUUUGGUAUGUGUCUGAACUUUUUUUUUUGUCAAUAUCGUGUUUGUUCCAUAACAUUGCCCUCAUUAGUUUGUUACAGUUAAUUACUUAUAAUUACUUUUGAGUAAUUUGUUAAUGUGUACUGUUGCUCUUGAUUAUGUCUAAUAAUGUUUUUAUUAUAUCCAAACAACUUUCUAUUGCUUAUUUGUGUUGUGUGUUUGUGUAUAUAUGUAUAGAGAGGAU